rnacentral:pre_miRNA from 1 species
UAUUAGGUUGGUGCAAAAGUAAUUGUAGUAUUUGCCAUUAAACAUAAUGGCAAAUUCUGCAAUUACUUUUACACCAACCUAAUA